CUCAUUUGUUGGAACUUCUGAGGAUUUCUCUUCCCCACUGUUCUCAUGACAGACUUGACAGCCAUUCGGCUCUGUGACCCAUAAUGAGCACAGUACAGCUCAGCUGAGGAACUCACCAUUUGAGAACAGUGAAAUUCAACUCAGGAAUAAGGAAGGCUCAGAUAACAGAAGGAUCCAAAUGCGUCCACUCAAGGUCUUAAUGAGUUAACGCUGAUUGCUAACUUGACAGCAUCCGAAGUCACCUAGGAGACAAUCUCUGGAACUGUCUGUGAGGGAGUUGGAGACUGGAUUAACUGAGGUUGCUUUUGGUCAUGGUGUCUCAUCACAGCCAACCCUGACUAAGACAGUCUCAGUUAUGUAUAAAAAAAAUUGGUCUCUUGCCAACCCUAAAAUGGGUGGGACUGAUCUAAUGGGAGAUCACCAAGGCCAGUUGGACUGGAACUGAUGGAGCAUAUGAUCAAA